rnacentral:lncRNA from 1 species
UCUGAUCUGUUUCUCUUUCUCUAUCUUUCUCCUUCAAAAACUCUACUUCUCUCCUUUGUUGGCUCCGAACCGGAGUCCUACGUUCAUCGCCCUCUCACACCGCCGCCACCACCACUAAGAGCAGCGGAUGAACAUGAACAAAACCCAGGUUUUAUUACACCGCGUUUUAGUUUCCUCAUAUAUGUUUUUGAAUUCAAGAAUGGAUCUUGAAUGACGACUCAGAUCUUGUCAAUCGGUUGCAGGUAUAUUACCCAAGAAAUAGUAGAUUGGUUGUAGGUGAAUUCUCUCUACCUCGAUCUAUCCUUUUUACCCCAUAUUGUAUAAUCAAUUUGUUGGUUGAAUCUCAAUCUUUUGUUUCUGUUCUUAGUUCUUGUUCAUCGGCCUCUCA